rnacentral:rRNA from 1 species
CCUACGGGAGGCAGCAGUGGGGGAUAUUGGACAAUGGGGGGAACCCUGAUCCAGCGACGCCGCGUGAGUGAAGAAGUAUUUCGGUAUGUAAAGCUCUGUCAGCAGGGAAGAAAGAAAUGACGGUACCUGACCAAGAAGCCCCGGCUAACUACGUGCCAGCAGCCGCGGGAAUACGUAGGGGGCAAGCGUUAUCCGGAAUUACUGGGUGUAAAGGGAGCGUAGACGGUUAAGUAAGUCUGGAGUGAAAGGCCGGGGCCCAACCCCGGGACUGCUCUGGAAACUAUUCAACUUGAGUGCAGGAGAGGUAAGCGGAAUUCCUAGUGUAGCGGUGAAAUGCGUAGAUAUUAGGAGGAACACCAGUGGCGAAGGCGGCUUACUGGACUGUAACUGACGUUGAGGCUCGAAAGCGUGGGGAGCAAACAGGAUUAGAUACCCUAGUAGUC